AUCAGUUCACAACUUCACUUGGCUUCUUUAGAGAGAGAGAGAAGCGAGAGAGCGAGAAAGAGGGUUCGAUUAUAAUGGCGACGAAGAGGGAGACAGACAUGAAGAAGGCAGAAAAGGUGUUGUGUUCGUGUUCCAACCUUAAGGACGAUGAAGCGGUGGUAGAUGAAAUCAGCUUCUUCCCCAAUCCAUCGUGUGUGGUUUCCAUGGGCGUUUCUUCUUCUUCAACGAACAAGUUAAGAAGGAGGAAUUCGUGCCGGGUGAGAGGAUCCGAGGACGUUGCUUGUUUGUUUGUUUCUUCUUCUGAUUCGACCACAGCCAAGCACAGAGAGAUUCAAUGAAGAAGAAUACUUAACUCUGCCAAGCACAGCUGUCCGUUUUAAGAAUGAGAAAUACCCUAGACCAAUGUGCUAUACAAGGCCCACGGAAGUGAAAAGGAAGACACCCCAAAUUGUGAUGUCCCCGAAUUUGAGAUUCUAUAGGAAGCUCGUGAUGUGUGCUUCAUGGCAAGAUUUGAAGGAUCAUAUGCGGGGAGAUGGUGAUGUGUGCUUUGCUGAGGCCACUCGAGACAGGUUAUGAGUCUUCCUCGUCCACUUCAAAUUCUCCCCAUCCAUAACAUCGUUGAUGAGUUAGAUAUGGCGGUUUAAUUCAGCCCGUCAUAAUAUUCUCUCUUUGUAAUAUUCAAUCACCGUCUCUUGAAGCUUGUUGCCAUCUAUGCUCUACCAUUACAUAGGUUAUGGUUGAUCCUUUUAUCGAUGAGGGUGAUGUCUCAAGGAGGCACGGAUACGCUUCGCUUCUUCUAAGGUUAUGGUUGAUGCGUUUAUCGAUGAGGGUGAUGUAUCAAGGAGACAAGGAUACGUUUCGCUUCUUCUCUGUGCUAACGUCUUCAAGGGUUUAGUUAUUCCUCUUAACACUUCUUUUAUUUACUCUCUGUUUU